UGCUUGGACUUGUCCACAGAUCAUGAUGCUCUUUUCUUUCUGUUUCUCUCUCCUAUAGCAUCUUUUUUUUUCUAUGUACAUUGACUGUGUGUACUUUGUAUUUCAUUGUGGUUAGUUUCUUUUGCUGUGUCUCCAACUUCAUGCCUAUAUGCUUCUGCAAUGUGUAAUCUGUUGUUCCUCCCAUCCACUGUAGUUUUCAUUUUAAACGUUGUAGCUUUUUUCCUCUAGAAGUUGGGUUUGAGUCUUUUAUAUAUCAUGAGUGUCUCUACUUAACUUUGAUGUGCUCUGUUCUACCUGCUUUGGUAGAAGUGGCAUAGCUUUUCCCCUUGCAGUCUAUCGGCCAGAAAUGGCCACGUGGCCUCACCCACAGCAAGGGAGGCUGAGUGUAUGGGGAACAAUGUGGGGUGUUGUCGUCACAGCAGCUCCGCGGACAACACCUUCAGAUCCCUCGCAGCAUUUCCCUAGUUAAAGCAGAUUGCCAAGGCUCUCCCAGAGCUGGGUCAUGACCUGUAGAGAUGGCAUCUGAGCAAAUUCUGAUACUUAAAAAAAAUUUUAUUCUCCUUGUUUUCAUUCCACUUGAACCAAGCAGCUUCACUGAGCAUGCAGGACACAGGUCAGAGCCUUACCCUGGCUGUGCCUUUCUCUGGAAUGUUCCUUUCCCAGGCAGCUCAUGUCCACAUCUGAGUGUAAUGGAGGCUCAGACAUCACCUCCACAGGGAUGCCCACCCUGACUGCACACUUAGCCUCGCAGCCUUGCUCACAACUGUGUCCAGGAUCCCUUAUUCUUACAUACAUAGUACCUUUUAUCAUUUAAUUCCUACUCCACUUAUUUAUUGCAAUUUUUAUUGUUACUGACCUGUUUUAUUACCCAUCAGAUUGUAAGUUCUACAGACACAGGGGAAUUUGUCAGUAAGUUUAUUAUUGAAUUCCAAUCACUGGAAUAAGACCUGGAAAUACUUGGUACUUAAUAUAUGUUCAUUGAAUGAAUAAAUCUCUGAGAAAAAAUAGGGCAGUUCUGUUUCCUGAUGCCCUAAGACAUGUAGAGAAUGCUACCCAAGGCACCCAUUAAUCAUCGAGAUAAAACGUUUAGACUCCCCUGAAGUUUUCGCGUGUAGUUUACCUUUAUAAUUUGCUUCAUUUUCAAGGCUGCCUUCACCCUUCAUUUAUUCUGAUUUUUCCUUAGGAAAAGAGAUCAUGGGAAGGCAUAUCAGGGACGGAGCCCACGCUUCAGGGCCAUUCUGCUGGGCUUUCCUACAGUGACCUCACCAUCACCACCACCACCAACAACGACAUCACAGNNNNNNNNNNCGACAUCACAGCCCCGACCUCACCAUCACCACCACCAAUGACGAUGCUACAGCCCUGACCUCACCAUCACCACCACCAACGACAAUGACAUCACAGCUCCGACCUCACCAUCACCACCACCAAUGACAACGACAUCACAGCUCCGACCUCACCAUCACCACCACCAAUGACGAUGCUACAGUCCUGACCUUACCAUCACCACCACCAAUGACAAUGACAUCCCAGCCCCGACCUCACCAUCACCACCACCAAUGACAACGACAUCACAGCUCCGACCUCACCAUCACCACCACCAAUGACGAUGCUACAGUCCUGACCUUACCAUCACCACCACCAAUGA
rnacentral:lncRNA from 1 species